rnacentral:rRNA from 1 species
UACGGGGGGGAGCAAGCGUUGUUCGGAUUUACUGGGCGUAAAGGGUGUGUAGGCGGUUUUCUAAGUUUGGUGUGAAAUCUCCCGCUCAACCGGGAGGGUGCGCCGAAAACUGGGAGACUAGAGUGCGGGAUGGGAGAGUAGAAUUCCUGGUGUAGCGGUGAAAUGCGUAGAUAUCAGGAGGAAUACCGGUGGUGUAGACGGCUCUCUGGACCGCCACUGACGCUGAGACACGAAAGCGUGGGUAGCAAACAGG